AAAAUGUUGCAGAACACAGUUGAGAACAGCAUCAAACCAGGUGUGGAGACUUCACGGCUCGUUGACGGGCUCUCCCGAUGAGCGACAGGUGUUAAGGUGUGAACUAAUGAGGGAGGAGGUCAAGGCUCACAACACACCUCCUUCAGAAAUAAAGGCUGCAGCUCUGAGCUCCGACAGAUAAUGGUUAUCCGUGGGUAAACCCCCCCCCCCUUUCCCCUGACACUUGGAUGUCUGGAGGUGGUUGUUGCUUCAGCAGCGUCUCACUGAGAAGUCUGAAGGUCAGGCCCCAUAAAACACUGCAGACAUCAGAACUGAUGGGUCCCACAUUUGAAGCACCUUUCGUGGAAGCAUCUGUCGGCAGAGCCUGGAGAGUUCAGAUGUCCACAGCUCUACUGGACAGUGUCGCCGCCCCUGCCUCUGCUUCAGCUUGAAACCGUGAGGACACUCGCAGAUGUUCGGCCGAACACAGGAACCUCCGUUCAGACAGACGGGGGUGCAGAGAGCUGGAGGAGGAGAGAGGCAGGAGCAUCAGCACCGAGUGAUCUCACCACUGGACACCAGAUCUGGCAAACCUGCGACUGAAUACCCUUCGUGAAUGAAAAGAGCAGGUGCAUUAUAUGCCGAGGGAGCAGCAUGCCUUUGGGGCAGGGGCCGCAGCCAUAGGACCCAAAGUUAUUGAAGCACUGGACUCCCGGGAAACAGGGCUUUCUCUCACACUCGUUGAUAUCUUCCAGGCAUGUCUUACCUGUCAAAAAACAUGCACACAGGAAAUAACUGGGAUUGAUUAUCUGCAGCUGCAAAGGCACCGAUAAAUAUAAAGGACAGUCAUCCAGUCUGACCUCUCAACCCUGCAGGACACUCGCAUCUGUGCCCGCUGACUGUGUUGAUGCACUUGCCGGCCGUGCACGGAGCCGACAAGCAUUCGUCUAUGUCCUCGUCGCAGAGCUCACCCUGCUGACCCCCGGGACACACACACAGGUAUUUCCCACUGCCGGCAGGGAAGUGGACGUCUGUCACGCAGGUGCCUCCAUUUUGACAGCCGCACGGCACCACAUCAACCUGUGGUAUAGACGGGAAAAGGGACACCGUUGAAGUGGAGCCUGUUUUCUAUUGCUAUAGUGAAGGUGCUCUGCGCGUUGCACUCGUCAGACAGCGUGAAUCGGAAUGAGCGGCUCGAAUGACGCCCCCCCUCCUCCAGAAGCACCGGGACCCUCCAGAUAAGGAGGCCAGCUGGGGAGAGAACAGCCCCCUUUGGACCCUCCUCCAGUUGGAAGAGGAGCGCCGAGCCCUCGGGGUCCGAUGCCGCGAACUGGAAGACAAAGUUCUCCCCGGCAAAAGUUCGCAGGUUGCUGUGAGGUCGGUGGAACGCCGGUGGCUCGUUGACUGCCAGUGGAGGGAAAAAGUGGAGAAACAGGCUAAAAAACUUGCUUCCUGUCCUGAAAUAAACCCUUCAGAAGUGAGUUUGGUUUGGCUAAAGCAUUUCUCCAGGCUGUUCCUGGAAGAAUCAUUGUAAACACACAUGUCCGUCCAUCUUCUCUUUCCAGCCGGGGCUCUCAACAGCCAUUUCAACAAGAUCAUGUAGCGUCCCCCAACCACUCGGAUCCCGCUCUUGCCACAGAUGUUCAACAGGAAGAAAGUGAUGAUAAUCCCAGGAAAGAUCUGCUCAGCAUGAUGGUCUUGUGUUAAGAAAUCAGCAGGAGAACACUUGCUGAUUAAUAAGAUUAUUACCGUUUCUGAAUUCCAAAACUAACUGCUGAGAAAUAAGCAAAAAGUCUGGCAAUGCGGUGAGAUAAUUACUCUUGCAUCCAACAUAAAUCAACUUGUCUCUUUUCUUGAUACUGUCACUUUCAUCUGCCUUAUUUUGUCUCGGAAAAACAAACAGUCCAACUGCACAGGGUGAAGAGGAAUUAUCUCAUUGCUUGAGACAUUACCAUUCAAAGAAAAUUCAGGCUUUUAAGGCCUGACGUGAGACUGACUGACGUUUUAAGGCGGCCGUUCAUUGCAGUGCACAGCCACAGUGUACGGCUGACGUGAUUUGUCGGGUGUGAGGAAGGGUAAUUGUGAGUCUAUGUUGUCGUGGAAAUCAACCAUGUGAGUUUUUUAAACCCCCUCUUCUCCCCUCCCCCCUCUCCCAGUGUGGUUAAGCGACAGGUCAGGGCAUGCUGGGAAACUUCAACCUCCGCUCCUUUGAUCCGCUAAUCGGGACAAACGGGACCACAGUUGGACAGCUUCCACAGUGACAGACUACCAUGACGGCCA